GUCUACAGCCAUCCCACCCUGAACAUGCCUGAUCUUGUCUGAUCUCGGAAGCUGAGCAGGGUCAGGCCUGGUUAGUACUUGGAUGGGAGACCGCCUGGGGUUACAGGGUGCUGUAGGCU
ensembl:rRNA 5S_rRNA 5S ribosomal RNA